GGCAAAAUGCAAUUUCGAAGAAGUCGCGGGGAGAACUUGUAAAAUCCGAAAAAGGAAAGGUCAAAGUUGUAAAUCCGAAAAGGGAAAGGUCAAAGUUGUAUUUCCUUAUAAAUUCUGGCAUCACGGACCAAACGGCCCUAAAAUCGCCAUCGUACGCCCCGAAAGCUCAAAGGUACGAUUUUCUGUGUCUCAAAUUCCAAUUUGAAUUCGCGUUCUGGUCUCGCGGUCAUCUAUUUCCUUUGAGCCAUGCGUCCGUUGAUCCGCUUCAAUCCCAUUUUCCUGCUAUUUUCCCGGGAAAAUUUAGCGAGAAAAUGAGGAGGAAGCCGGUAAGAACGGUCUUCCUGUUUCCAAACCUGCGUCGCUGUCCGUUCUUCGGAUGAUCCUACGCUGUGGUUUCAUCCGUUUGAUGUUCGAUUGACUCGAUUUGGGAUUUUUCCUGUCUUCGUCCCGAUUUUGCGAUCUAGGGUUUUAUCCUCUUUGGGGGUUUUUCUUGCAUAGCCGCAAGUUGUUUUCUUUGACUUAUCUUUUCUCGAUGCUUGCGCGUUCUGAGCUUGGGAAUCUAAAUAUAGGGCUCCGUUGAGUUUUUUCUACGUGAAGUCGGAUGUGGGGUGACUCUGAAAACUUGCAUUCGUUUCGAUCUUGUAUCUGCUUGUGGGUAGAUUGCCCGAAUUCGAAUCGAGGUACAAGGAGCUUGAUUUUCUCAUUGAAAGGGGAUGCUGGACGUCUGCCUGCUCCUUUUGAUGAUGUGUCGAAGGAGUCGGAGCUCAAAUCGCAUUGUCGAGACGAAGCGGGUCUUCUUUUAUCUUAUGUCGCCGAGUAUGAUAGUCUUUUUUAUCGGGGCAUUGAGAGGGAAGUACUGCCGCGGCGGUGUUCUAGUUCUCCAAUUGGAUUCAGUGAGAUGCCAGAAAGGGCCUUAGUAGUAUAGUGGAUCUAUUUAAUGCCUUACCUUAGUGCUAGUCUUGAGCUGUAGCAUUGGAGGUUAGAAUUUAUGGACCUUUACAACUGCCGCGAAAAAGGAAAACAAGAAAAACUUGAGAAAUUGUGACAUGAUUUAUGUUCAUUAAAUGUGGAGGACAAGUUUGUGCCAGAUUGUAGCUAGAUUGUGCAUUUAAAAGCCAUGAAAGGCCUCAGAAUAUAACAUGUGGAGGACAAGUUUUUGCCGGAUUGUAGCUAUAGAUUAUGCAUUUAAAAGCCAUGAAAGGAUUCGGAAUUUUUAUUUUUCUUUGUGCCGUUAAGUUACCCAUGUAGCUGAUUUUGAAGAGAUGGGAUUGUUUCUUAUAUUGCAGGAAAAAGUUUAUAGUAUAUGGAUAACAAAUCACCACCGUGCAAGGAGGUUGCUGACGAAUUGACUCGGGAGUCACUUAUCGCGAUCUCUUAUUUAGAACCGGAUAACCCUGCCAAUAUGAAUGUUCAACCUAAAAGCUGCAUUGUUGCAAAUGAUGAUGCAGUGACUGAUGGUGACAACACCGAGAAGUACAGGUCAGAGCUCAUGUCCAUCUCUGAAUUGCCGCCGCCUAAUACUUCACCUGUUGCUGUGGAUCCUUGAGGAUUAAGGGGGUUUCAAUUUCUUUGAAAGACCAUUUUGACUAAGUGACAAGCUUGCUUUGAUGUAGAACAAGUGGAAUGUCUUUUAAUGCUGCUUUCUUCUUCUGUGGAGCUGUCAAAUUCUACUGAAAAUAUGUGCAGUAUCGAACUCCAUGUACAAAAGUGAUGUAUGAUCAGUUUGAGAAAAUGCACAAAGAAAUUGGUUUGAGCUUUACUAUAUCCUUGCCUUUUGUCUCUUAUUUGUCUGAUUUUCGUUUCAGGAGGGUGACACAAGUAUUCUAGAUCCGAUUCGAUCAUCUCAUUGUUCGCUUUGUUUUACCUCCAGAAAACCUUGAGACCUAUACUCAAAUACCGAACCCAAAAUGCUACUCUGAUGAGUUUAGUCUUGGUUAUGUUUGCUUGCUCAAUUGGCCAUCUGCCUUUGUGUGGUGGUAGCCUUUGCUGUGACUGUUUAUUUUACAUGUUUCCCAGAGACUGAGAUGAUCUAUUCUUCAAGACAGCAAACUGCUUUCAGAGCCCAAGCACGAGGCAUCAUUCAUGCAAGUUUUUUCUUAUGCCUCUGUGGGUGCCGAGAACUUUAUUAUCUACUUUGCCUGUG
rnacentral:lncRNA from 1 species